GCAAGUCGAACGGAAACGAUGGGAGCUUGCUCCCAGGCGUCGAGUGGCGGACGUGUUAGUAACACAUAGGAAUCUGCCCAGAAGCGGGGGACAACUUGGGGAAACUCAAGCUAAUACCGCAUACGCCCUACGGGGGAAAGCGGGGGACCUUCGGGCCUCGCACUAUUGGAUGAGCCUAUGUCAGAUUAGCUUGUUGGUGGGGUAAUGGCCUACCAAGGCGACGAUCUGGAGCUGGUCUGAGAGGACGAUC
rnacentral:rRNA from 1 species